UUUUUCCUCGUCUUGCACUCUCGGAUCCCUCAAGAUAAAACGCUACUCCGACCCCCAUCAUCCGAUCGAAGAAAACAAAGCUACCACGAUCGCCAUGUCAUCAUCUUCUCUCUCGAUCGACGUCGCUACUAGGUCGAUAGCCCUGCGAAUCCCCACACCCAAGCAACCCGCUUCCGCCCUUCUUCCGAUCGGUUGGUAUACUCCUGCGUUGUUUCUAGGGUUUCGAUCUCGGUUCCUUUUUCCAGGGAGACAAAUCUUGACGCGUGUUUCCGGCGACUGGGACAGAUUAAGCUUGUACAGCCUUGAAGGCCUCCGCUAUAUGCGUGGGAGGAUUUCGAUUGAUUUUGCCACAUUGGUGAGCUUUCCUAAUCCUGAUUCCUUGAACUAUCCACAACGUGAUUUCUUUCUUUUGUGUUAUUGACUAAAUGUUAGAUCAAAUAGAUAUCACGCAUGUGUUUACUCAUUAGAAAGUAUAAUCCUGGAUAUUUGCUGAUUCAGUCUCCUGUGGUGAAUGGUUGUUAUUGAUAGCAGGGAAAUCUUCUCCUCUAACCUGUAUUAAUAGUAAUCAUGUCAAUAAACUUUGAUCAAGCUUUGUAAUCACGUUUCAAUUUAUCAUAGUAUCAUAGCUUGAUCAAGGUUUAAGGUUUAUUGACAUGAUUACUAUUUAUAGAAGAGAAGAUUUCUCUCAACAGAUCAACGAGAUUUUCUCGGGAAAUCUUAUCUGCUAUAAGUUAUAGUUGAUGUUACAUAUGAUGUUGUCGAUUAGCGUAACUGUGUGCUUAAAAAUCUGUAGUACUAUGUAACAAUUGGACUAUACUACUCUCUUAACCACAUUUUUGCUGCAACAUUUAUAGGUAACUACUUGUCCACAUUAAUAUGAGUAAAUAGUAGACACCAUCUUUGCUGUCAUCGUCUUUCAAUUAAUCGGAGUGACUAUUAGCCACAUCUGUUUAUGUCAGUAACUUCCAGUUUUUAGAUUUAGUUUUCUUAAGGCGAAGUGCCAAAGGUAUAACAUGGUUUUGCGAUCAAAUCUUGUAUGCUGUGGAUGACAUAUAGUCGGAUCGUUAUGGAAAUAAUAUAGGUUGAUUUUUUAGUGAGACUAUGGAGAAAUUCAUGGGAAAUUUAGUAUAACAUGUAAGAAUAUUGGGAGACAAAUAAUAUAAGGUUGAUGUCGAAAAUUUUUUAUGCUGUUGCCUACUUCUCUACCCAUCAUUAUGAACAUAUAUGAAAUAAUAUAUCAAUAGAUAACAUAUGCAAGAUACAUCAAGAUGUGUGGAUGAAGUAACAGAUGAUGCUUAAUGAUAUUAUAUGAUUCUUUUACAUAUUGGUAUUUGAGCAGGACCUUCUUGCAUAAGCAAAUUGCAAAAUACUUGAUUAUGAAGAAGAUGCAAUCAUAUGAGAUCAAAAUUUGGAAGAUACGUAAGAUGAAGAAAAUAUGUCAUAAAUCUAAAAUGUUUAAGCUCAGCAAAAAGCAUCUGAGAGGAGGCUAAGUUAUUACUAGUAUGGAUUCUACUGGUGUAGGAUUACUCAUGAAUGGUAUAGGCAGGUGGGAUAUUGAUAUGACUGAUGAGGCAUCGCUACGAGAGGUGCAUUCGAGCACCAAAGGUGGAAAUGAUAUUGGAGAUAACAUAGAUAAACCAUGUGUGGUUUAUAGGUGGUCUUAGCUAAGAAUGGCUGAUGCACAACCUUGCAUAUUCGGCACUUUUUGUUUAUGAAUAUAGUUAGAGCUUUAAGCGCAUUAGUUUGUAUCGGUGAAUCAUCAUAAUUUUGAAAGGACUGUAGGGAUAUUGGACAAACGCAACUAAUAUGCUGACUGAAUUCUAAAAUUUGUAUCUGUUUUUGGCUGAACUAAAUUAUGGAAAUGAGUCGACAGGGUGUGAUGCGUGUGAUGCACCUUUGGGUAUAAAUAGAAUGAUUGAGACCAAAUUUAUAUUGAAUUUGAGACUAAAAUUUACUACUGACUUAAAUAUCAGUUGUAUAUGACAUUCCAUCUCAUUUAUUGGAAUUGUCAUAAAGAAUGGAUGAAGUGAUACUUAACUUCUGCUUGUUCGAGAUUGUAUUGCAUGGGUAUUGCAAUAACAUGACUUUUGCUCUCUUCUACUACUAUCGGUCUUCAAAUGUUUAUGUGUACAAGAAUUAAGAGGAGUUAACAUGGUAUCUCCAGCUAAUAAUCACCUGAACAGGCAGCUCCCAACUAUAUAUAUGUCUAAAUAAAAAAGAUAAUUCUCAAUAGGUGUUGAUAAACAGAAUACAUAAUUAUCUGAGGUUAUUGUACCUAUCCUUUUGGUUGUUGAAUAUAUGUUUAUCUUCCUCUACAAGGUCAUAUGUAUCUUCUUUCCUUUCAGGAUUGCUGAAACAUUAGUAUUCUAAUUGUCUGAUGCAUGAUAUUUAG
rnacentral:lncRNA from 1 species